GUCCUGCUAGCUCAGAUGGUAGAGCAUCUGACUUUUAAUCAGAGGGUCACAGGUUCGAAUCCUGUGCAGGACACCA
rnacentral:tRNA from 1 species